rnacentral:rRNA from 1 species
UGGGGAAUAUUGCACAAUGGAGGGAACUCUGAUGCAGCGACGCCGCGUGAGUGAUGAAGGACUUCGUUUCGUAAAACUCUGUUCUAUGGGAAGAAAAGGACUGUACCAUAGGAGAGAGCUCCGGCUAAAUACGUGCCAGCAGCCGCGGUAAUACGUAUGGAGCGAGCGUUGUCCGGAAUUAUUGGGCGUAAAGGGUGCGCAGGCGGCUUUACAAGUUGGAUGUGAAAUAUUGUGGCUCAACCACAAACGUGCAUCCAAAACUGCAAAGCUUGAGUUAAGGAGAGGUAAGUGGAAUUCCUGGUGUAGCGGUGGAAUGCGUAGAUAUCAGGAGGAAUACCGGUGGCGAAGGCGACUUACUGGACUUAAACUGACGCUCAGGCACGAAAGCGUGGGGAGCAAACAGG